UUGAUACAACAAAGUGAAAAGUCGUUGCAAAAGGGCGUAUCCUAACAAUUUUUUGCAACGAUUCCCUAGCUCUUAAAAUUAACCCACGCCUCUUUGUCAAAAUUUCCCUCUCAAACCUGAAAUCCCAUCUCCUCUCAAACAAAGUGAAAACCCUAUGCUCAUCUCUUUUUCUCUGUCUAGACGUCUCCUCUACUGGGCGACACCAUUUGCCCCGCCAUGGCAGGAAAGCGGCAAGUCGACCACCGGCGUGCUAGUGUUCCGAUGAUUUGGUGCAUCAACUAUUGUAAGUUGGUAUGGUCCGCUAUUUCUUCGCGAUUUAAUUUGAUCGUGCAAUGACUUCAAGGUAAUGUAUGUAUGUUUGUUCAAUCCUUGUUCUUGUAGUUUCAUGGAUUGGAAAUCGUGAAUCUAUCUCGUUUUGGUGAUCUUGACCCUAAGUUCAUUUCACGAUUUAAUUUUUUUAGGGUUAAAUGUGAGGUAUUUUUCCUUUGUCUUUGCUUAUACAUAUGAUUUGGAUCAAAACCCUAAUCUAGUGUCAUCGGAUGCUAUUAGGGUAUGUUUUUAAAGUCUUGUGAGUAUAUGAAUCCCAUUAAUAAUGAUUUGAAACAGAAAUGAAUGUACUACAAACCAGCCUAUAAUAGAAACGAAUGUAUUUUAGGGUUAAAUGUGAGAUAUUUAUCCAUUUAUUAUGUAUGAGUUUAUCUUAAAUGUCUUGUCUUAUGGUUCAUCUCACGUGAAAUUUCUCAAAUAUAUGAUUUUUUGAGUUUAUGGAUUCAUUCCGAACUCAACUCUUAUAAGGGUGGGUAAGUUUGCUGCUAGUUAUAUAAUAUAUACUAUAUACCAGCCCCUUAUGUGUGAUGUAUCACUAAGGAGAUGAAACUAUUAAUUACCUUUCUGCACACGAGUUCUUUCGCACAACCUGAAAAUCUGGUUUUAGAAAAUGUAUCAUAGAUGGGAUUCGCACAUCUGUUCUUUCACACAGCCCCUCACUUGUUUUGUUUUGUUGUUCAGUGGUUUCUGUCUUUGCCAAUUUGUUGUGUAAAUGGAGUUUGUGAGUAUUUAUUUUAAGCUUGGUGUUACCCAUAGGUAUUUAUCUCCAUUUAUCCUUUUGAUAAAUUAUACUUCGAUCCAUAUUUUUUAUGUUGAAAUUUUGUUAAAAUAAAUUAUGUUGUUUGGUGUUGUAGUGUUUUGCUGUUGGUGUUUGUUUUUGGGCAUAGCUCCUAUUAUUUUGAUUGCAGCGGCAUUGUUGUGCCCUUUUAUUUGGUUGAGUAGUUGUUUUAGAGUAGGUGGUAAGUGUUGGUUUUGUUUAGGUUUGAGAGAAUUGUUAGUAGUUUUAGCUUUAAAUCUUAGAGUUCCGUUGCAAAUAUAUUGAUUGGAGUCUGGCUAAGGUUUGGGUUGUCUGUUGCUCUGCCAAAAAUGUUAUUUGAUUACCAAUUGACAAUCCCAAAUAAAUUUUGUUCAAAGUUGAGUGAAUAUUUUGUUGUUUUGGCUUUGUUUUCCACCAAGAAUAAACUACAAUCAUUCAGUUGAUAUUGCAAUUGAAAUUGUUUUCAUUAUUUCCUAUGAUUUCUUUGCUAAUUUUUACAGUUUUGCAACCUAGAGGUUAUCGUUUUUUUAAUGUCCUGUGUACCACUACGACCAGGAAGACGUGACUAGAUGAUUUUCUUUAUGCAGUUGAAAAGGAUGUGCAAAGAGGGAGCAUAUUGGGGUGAAUGCAAACUUUAUUUCUGUGACAAUUCCAUCACAAAUGGUAUGUUUGAAGUUCUGGAUUGUAGAGGUUAAUAGCAAGUUGCCACUGGUAAAAAUAUCAUUUUGUUUCUUUUAUAAGUUUUGACUUUAUAAAUCUGUAGUCUUGAUUAAAUUUGGUUCUUGAAUUAGGUCAAGGAAGUGUUGGUGUAUUUACUAUAGUUCUGAAAUGUCAAUUGUUCGUUAUUGGUAUACUGUUGUUGCCUUAUUGGAUACACUACAUGGGGUGUUUGUUGUCUGCAUUGUGUUGGCAGUGGUCGAGGCUGUACUCGAUGACUUGUCCUCCUCGUGAGAGUCACGUGACGAGCCUUGUACGCAGUAAAUUUGCCUAGGUGGCUUCAUUGCCUAUACUAAUAAGAACAUCAAAUUAAGGGACCAGAUCAUGAAGUGUAAUUGACAGCCUAUACUAAGAUGUUUGGAAAAAGUGUAGGUUAUCUGUUGAACAUCAAAUUAUAGCUUAUACUCACAACCAUCCCUUGUUCUCCCAUCUAUCAAUUCUAAUCAGUAUUGUUUUCAUCCUCCUUUAUUUUACGAACAAGAUGGAUUAUGCUUAUGAGUUUCUCAAUGCAUCCUUUGAUUUCGAUCUAGGGUUUCAAAUCCUGUUUUAAUUAAUUGUAAGUCUAAACUUUGAUUUGGAUCUAGUGAUUUUUUUGGAUUGUCAUAAAUAUUCUUUAUUGUUUUAUAACUUUGUAAGAGAAAAGGAAAUCCAGAUUGAAGAACAGCCUCAUAAAAACAGCUAAAAGAAUCUCAAGUGGAGAAUUCCACUAAUAGAGGAAAAACGUAGAAUACAUGGCUUGCAGGAUAGUCUUACAAACGAUUUUCUCUACGGAAUCAUGGCUGCUACCAUCUGCAUGUUGAAGUUUUUGAUCUGAAGUUUUGAACCAAAGGCUGACGAGGUCCUGUUAGCACUCAAUCUGAAAGUUGGUGACAUCUACAAACAUUCUGAAUGCGCAAUGUUUUUGGAUUUGAAUGUAAUAAGUAGCUAGUUUUGAACAUCGACCGUAAUGUACAUUUACUUAUUGUGGACAUGGAAAUAUCCAUCUUUUGUAAUUAACUUUAUUUCAAUAUUUAAAUAUAAUGACAAUAUUAGAUA